rfam:TPA: Bos taurus chromosome 13, whole genome shotgun sequence.
UCCUUCAUAGCUUAGUCAGUAAAGAAUCUGCCUGCAAUGCAGGAGACCCGGGUUUGAUUCCUGGGUCGGGAA